UGCAGGUGCCUAGCUGAGGUGGAUUUUGUUUUGUAUGGACAACCGUAUAUGAAAUUUUUUUUCACAUAGAAACUUAUGCCCAGUGCACCAAGAAGGCUUCUUCAGAGUGAAGGCUCUGACUGCUCAUAAAAUAAUUGCUCAUUCCUGGAAUCUUGAUCUGGCAGCCCUUGAGAAGCUCAGUGACCAUCAAGCACAUUACUCACGGGUUUAUUUAAGGGCCUGGCUCUGCACAUCCCUCUGAAACCCUGCAUCAUCAUUGUUGGAUGGCAUUCUCCUCAUGGUCUGAGUUUGAACAUCCUUAUCAUGCAACCAGACAAAAAUCAGAGGAAUUGGCUAAGGCUGGAGACUGGAGGGAAGAGUUGUAGUUCAAGUCCGAAGGCAGUCUGCAGACAGACUUCUUGCUCUGGGGAGGUCAGUCUUUGUUUUAUUAGUAUCUUCAACUGAUUGGAUGAGACCCACCCACACUCUGGAGAAUAAUCUGCUUUACCCGAAGUCCACUGAUCUAAAUGUUAAUCUCAUCCAAAAAAUGCCUUCACAGAAACAUCCAGAACAAUGUUAGAUCAAAUAUCUGGGUACCGGGGCUCAGUCAAGUUAACACAAAAAACUGAUCAUAGUUCCCUUCCUCUCAAAUGUCUCCAUCUUCACCUUCAACCUCUAUUAAUGGACAAUACUGUUACCAAUAUCAAAAACAAAAAAUAAAUAGAAUUUUACAUUU